CCUACGGGGGGCAGCAGUGGGGAAUAUUGCACAAUGGGGGAAACCCUGAUGCAGCGACGCCGCGUGAGUGAAGAAGUAAUUCGUUACGUAAAGCUCUAUCAGCAGGGAAGAAACACUGACCUUACGGUCAGCAGACGGUACCUGAGUAAGAAGCCCCGGCUCACUACGUGCCAGCAGCCGCGGUAAUACGUAGGGGGCAAGCGUUAUCCGGAUUUACUGGGUGUAAAGGGGGCGUAGACGGUGCGCCAAGUCUGGAGUGAAAUGCCGCAGCUUAACUGCGGAACUGCUUUGGAAACUGGCGAACUAGAGUGCGGGAGGGGUAAGCGGAAUGCCUAGUGUAGCGGUGAAAUGCGUAGAUAUUAGGAGGAACACCGGUGGCGAAGGCGGCUUACUGGACCGUAACUGACGUUGAGGCUCGAAAGCGUGGGGAGCAAACAGGAUUAGAUACCCUGGUAGUC
rnacentral:rRNA from 1 species